rnacentral:rRNA from 1 species
GACGAGGGAUCCUAGCGUUGUUCGGAAUCAUUGGGCGUAAAGCGGGUGUAGGUGGCUUUGUAAGUCGGAUGUGAAAGCCUGGGGCUUAACCCCAGAAGUGCAUUCGAUACUGCGAAGCUUGAGUGGUAGAGAGGAUAGUAGAAUUGUUGGUGUAGUGGUGAAAUACGUAGAUAUCAACAGGAAUACCGGUGGCGAAGGCGGCUAUCUGGCUACACACUGACACUCAGACCCGAAAGUGCGGGGAUCAAACAGG